AUGAUUUGACGAAAGAAAAUCUGUCUUAGCUUAUUAAAAAAAAUUAACCUAGAAGUUAAAAGGCUUCUAUUUCCUAAAGGGACGACAAGACCCUAUAAAGCUUUAUUUAUAAUAUUUUUAUUUACUUCAAUAAAAAAUAUAAAUUUAUAAAUUCUAUUGGGGCGAUAAAUAAAUAAACAUUAUUAACUAUAACGUUUUUAACGAAAUUUAUAAAAUAUUUUUAAAACCUACAACAAGUUACUUUAGGGAUAACAGCAUAAUUUCUUUUUAGAGUCCUUAUCGACAGAGAAGAUUAUGACCUCGAUGUUGGAUUAAG
rnacentral:rRNA from 1 species